GAUGAAGAACGCAGCGAAAUGCGAUAAGUAGUGUGAAUUGCAGAAUUCAGUGAAUCAUCGAAUCUUUGAACGCACAUUGCGCCCGCCAGUAUUCUGGCGGGCAUGCCUCCGAGCGUCAUUUCAACCCUCGAACCCCUCCGGGGGGUCGGCGUUGGGGAUCGGCCCUUUACGGGGCCGGCCCCGAAAUACAGUGGCGGUCUCGCCGCAGCCUCUCCUGCGCAGUAGUUUGCACACUCGCAUCGGGAGCGCGGCGCGUCCACAGCCGUUAAACACCCCAAACUUCUGAAAUGUUGACCUCGGAUCAGGUAGGAAUACCCGCUGAACUUAAGCAUAUCAAUAAGCGGAGGA
rnacentral:misc_RNA from 1 species